CACGUAGGGGGCGAGCGUUGUCCGGAUUUAUUGGGCGUAAAGAGCUCGUAGGCGGUUUGGUAAGUCGGGUGUGAAAACUCUGGGCUCAACUCAGAGACGCCACCCGAUACUGCUAUGACUUGAGUCCGGUAGGGGAGUAUGGAAUUUCCGGUGUAGCGGUGAAAUGCGAAGAUAUCAGGAGGAACACCGGUGGCGAAGGCGGGUCUCUGGGCCGAUACUGACGCUGAGGAGCGAAAGCGUGGGGAGCGAACAGG
rnacentral:rRNA from 1 species